rnacentral:rRNA from 1 species
GACGAACGCUGGCGGCGUGCUUAACACAUGCAAGUCGAACGAUGAACUUGGAGCUUGCUCUGGGGGAUUAGUGGCGAACGGGUGAGUAACACGUGAGUAACCUGCUCUGGACUCUGGGAUAACUUCGAGAAAUCGGAGCUAAUACCGGAUAGGACCUUGCACCGCAUGGGGUGGGGUGGAAAGUUUUUCGGUUUGGGAUGGACUCGCGGCCUAUUAGCUUGUUGGUGAGGUAAUGGCUCACCAAGGCGUCGACGGGUAGCCGGCCUGAGAGGGUGACCGGCCACACUGGGACUGAGACACGGCCCAGACUCCUACGGGAGGCAGCAGUGGGGAAUAUUGCACAAUGGGCGCAAGCCUGAUGCAGCAACGCCGCGUGCGGGAUGACGGCCUUCGGGUUGUAAACCGCUUUUAGUAGGGAAGAAGCCUUCGGGUGACGGUACCUGCAGAAUAAGCACCGGCUAACUACGUGCCAGCCGCCGCAGUAAAAC